rnacentral:rRNA from 1 species
AACUUUCAACAACGGAUCUCUUGGUUCCAGCAUCGAUGAAGAACGCAGCGAAAUGCGAUAAGUAAUGUGAAUUGCAGAAUUCCGUGAAUCAUCGAAUCUUUGAACGCACAUUGCGCCCUCUGGUAUUCCGGGGGGCAUGCCUGUCCGAGCGUCAUUUGCAACCCUCAAGCCCG